rnacentral:lncRNA from 1 species
UUGCUGGAGAGGAGGAGGGGGCCCAGCUCCUUCACCACGUCCCAUGAGAGCACCAAGGAACAGCUGAGAGACUGGCCUUUUCUCCUCCGAUCCCCCACCUCCCCAACAUAACAGGCUGCUCAUGUUCCAAGCAUUGUCGCUUGACCGCCCCUGAUGACCCAAGACUCCACAACGCGCUCGGGGUAUGCCAUUUUCUGGCCGGAUCAACCACGGCGAUGGGAUCAGCGCAAAGAGGGCUGGGAUGAGGCUGAACCGCAUUCGGUCUGCCAAGGUAUUGAAAGCCAGCUUGUGCCCUGCUCGAAUUCAACCCUGGAAAUCAUUGCCACCUUCGAAAGCGGGAAGAAAAAGGGCAGCUUUGCCAGAGGUCAUGCCAGGGGCCAUAUAAGACCAGCCUUUUACGUUUUUUUCCCCACCUCCAAGCACUAGAAACAGGUGGUCCUCUGAACGUGUACAAAGCCAGGAGCACCGCGGGGGUGGUGGUUUC